GAGUUUGAUCUUGGCUCAGAUUGAACGCUGGCGGCAUGCCUUACACAUGCAAGUCGAACGGCAGCACGGGAGCUUGCUCCCGGUGGCGAGUGGCGAACGGGUGAGUAAUGCAUCGGAACGUAUCCUGGAGUGGGGGAUAACGUAGCGAAAGUUACGCUAAUACCGCAUAUUCUGUGAGCAGGAAAGCGGGGGACCUUCGGGCCUCGCGCUCUUGGAGCGGCCGAUGUCGGAUUAGCUAGUUGGUGAGGUAAAGGCUCACCAAGGCGACGAUCCGUAGCAGGUCUGAGAGGAUGAUCUGCCACACUGGAACUGAGACACGGUCCAGACUCCUACGGGAGGCAGCAGUGGGGAAUUUUGGACAAUGGGGGCAACCCUGAUCCAGCCAUGCCGCGUGAGUGAAGAAGGCCUUCGGCGU
rnacentral:rRNA from 1 species